UUAGUGAAGCGCAUGUAGACCUUUAUUAGAGACUCCACGCAACAUUUACAACACAGAAGAGCAUCCAUCUUUAGCUAUCAAACACAAGCAGAUCUCCGAAAUGCUGCAGUUGCAGCAGCAUCAAGGACUGUUACUCAUUUCCUAUUAAAGGUGGCAAAUGCCCAUGUGACAAUCGCAUCCUGCUCUCUCUCGCAUCAACAUGCGUGACAACACCCACUCCUUCUCCUUCUCCCACGCACUCGAUUAUUCCUUUAAUUUCAGUUUUCCAUGGUGACUCGUUACUUGCAAGUUGCGUGCAAUCCAGUGCGCGGCAACUGC
rnacentral:lncRNA from 1 species